rnacentral:rRNA from 1 species
AUUGAACGCUGGCGGCAGGCCUAACACAUGCAAGUCGAACGAGUGGCGGACGGGUGAGUAAUGUCUGGGAAACUGCCCGAUGGAGGGGGAUAACUACUGGAAACGGUAGCUAAUACCGCAUACCAUCGGAUGUGCCCAGAUGGGAUUAGCUUGUAGGUGAGGUAACGGCCCACCUAGGCGUCGAUCCCUAGCUGGUCUGAGAGGAUGACCAGCAACAGUGGAGCGAGGACACGGUCCAGGCUCCUAGGGAGGGCAGCGGUGGGAAAUAUUGAACAAGGGGCGCAAGCCUGAUGCAGCCGUGCCGCGUGUAUGAAGAAGGCCUGCGGGUUGUAAAGUACUUUCAGCGGGGAAACGUUACCCGCGGAAGAAGCACCGGCUAACUCCGUGCCGGCGGCCGCGGUAAUU